rnacentral:lncRNA from 1 species
GCCCACUGAUCAGACUAAUAUUAAGACACAAAGCUGCAUAUGAAUACAUAAUUUUGGAUUAUUAAUGUCAGAUUCCUAACCUUCCGGAUACAACACCACAUGAGAUAUGUCUUGAUUCACUUCGUCGUUCGUCUUAGACUAUCUAGGAUGGUUUUAACAAUUCAACAUUUUUUUUUUGUUUUUUUUUUUAACAUUCCACAUCAUUUUGUCUCUUUUCCACCUAAUUAUUCAACAUCCAUUUCAUAUUUAAUCUCUACAAUAGUUUGUUUGAUAAAAUUCAACAUUUUUCUCCACCACUUUAAUUUAUAUUUUUAAUAUUUACUAUAGUAACUACAUAUUAAUAAUAUUUUUGAUUGUAACUACAAUAUAAAUUAUCUAAUUAGUUAUUAUUUUCAAAAUUCAUUUCUCACAAAGACAAAUUUAUUUUUUGCUUCCAAAUUAAAUGAAACAAAUAUCUAUUUAUAAAGUUUUAAAAAGGAUGAAACAUUAUUUUUGAAAUUUAUUCAUCACAAAGAGAAAUUGUUUUUUAUAUAUAUCCAAAUUAAAUAAAAC